AAUCAUCAACUCUAAACACCUUGUGUGUCUAGUGCUUGGUCUUGAGGGUCUUGCAGGCGCCUGGACGUCUGCUCCCUUUAAAUCUAUUAGCGAGACUUCCCUUUGCUGACCGUCUCUUGGCGUGAUAGUUAUCUACGUCGAUACGAGCGGUUCUCGUUGGGCUUGCUUCUAAUCGUCUUCGGACAGCCGAUUUGGGUGCAUAUAUGCGCUCCAUUUCAAACCU
rnacentral:misc_RNA from 1 species